GUAACGGCGAGUGAAGCGGCAACAGCUCAAAUUUGAAAGCUGGCCCCCUCGGGGUCCGCGUUGUAAUUUGUAGAGGAUGAUUCGGCGAGGGCUCCCGCCUAAGUCCCCUGGAACGGGGCGUCAUAGAGGGUGAGAAUCCCGUAUGUGAUGGGUUGCCUUAGCCAUGUGAAUCUCCUUCGACGAGUCGAGUUGUUUGGGAAUGCAGCUCUAAAUGGGAGGUAAAUUUCUUCUAAAGCUAAAUACCGGCCAGAGACCGAUAGCGCACAAGUAGAGUGAUCGAAAGAUGAAAAGCACUUUGGAAAGAGAGUUAAAAAGUACGUGAAAUUGUUGAAAGGGAAGCGCUUGCAGUCAGACUUGUCCGCGGUUGCUCAGCCGGUCUCUUGACCGGCGUACUCUUCCGCGGCCAGGCCAGCAUCAGUUCGGGCGGUCGGAUAAAGACCUCGGGAAUGUAGCUCCUCUCGGGGAGUGUUAUAGCCCGGGGUGGAAUGCGGCCAGCCUGGACUGAGGAUCUCGCUUCGGCUAGGAUGCUGGCGUAAUGGCUGUAAGCGGCCCGUCUUGAAACACGGACCAAGGAGUCUAACAUCUAUGCGAGUGUUUGGGUGUCAAACCCAUACGCGUAAUGAAAGUGAACGGAGGUGGGAACCCUCACGGGUGCACCAUCGACCGAUCCUGAUGUCUUCGGAUGGAUUUGAGUAAGAGCAUAGCUGUUGGGACCCGAAAGAUGGUGAACUAUGCCUGAAUAGGGUGAAGCCAGAGGAAACUCUGGUGGAGGCUCGCAGCGGUUCUGACGUGCAAAUCGAUCGUCAAAUUUGGGUAUAGGGGCGAAAGAC
rnacentral:rRNA from 1 species